GACGAACGCUGGCGGCGUGCUUAACACAUGCAAGUCGAACGGAAAGGCCCUGCUUUUGUGGGGUGCUCGAGUGGCGAACGGGUGAGUAACACGUGAGUAACCUGCCCUUGACUUUGGGAUAACUUCAGGAAACUGGGGCUAAUACCGGAUAGGAGCUCCUGCUGCAUGGUGGGGGUUGGAAAGUUUCGGCGGUUGGGGAUGGACUCGCGGCUUAUCAGCUUGUUGGUGGGGUAGCGGCUUACCAAGGCUUUGACGGGUAGCCGGCCUGAGGGGGUGACCGGCCACAUUGGGACUGAGAUACGGCCCAGACUCCUACGGGAGGCAGCAGUGGGGAAUAUUGCACCAUGGGCGGAAGCCUGAUGCAGCAACGCCGCGUGCGGGAUGACGGCCUUCGGGUUGUAAACCGCUUUCGCCUGUGACGAAGCGUGAGUGACGGUAAUGGGUAAAGAAGCACCGGCUAACUACGUG
rnacentral:rRNA from 1 species